rnacentral:pre_miRNA from 1 species
AGUAUAAUUGCUGGGUUAUGUGGUAACUCUAUGUUUAACUUUUUGAGAAAUUGCCUGACUGUUUUCCAACGUGACUGCACCAUUUUACAUUCCCAUCGGCAAU